GAUGAACGCUGGCGGCGUGCCUAAUACAUGCAAGUCGAGCGAACAGACGAGGAGCUUGCUCCUUUGACGUUAGCGGCGGACGGGUGAGUAACACGUGGGUAACCUACCUAUAAGACUGGGAUAACUUCGGGAAACCGGAGCUAAUACCGGAUAAUAUUUCGAACCGCAUGGUUCGAUAGUGAAAGAUGGCUUUGCUAUCACUUAUAGAUGGAUCUGCGCCGUAUUAGCUAGCUGGUAAGGUAACGGCUUACCAAGGCAACGAUACGUAGCCGACAUGAGAGGGUGAUCGGCCACACUGGAGCUGAGACACGGUCCAGACUCCUACGAGAGGCAGCAGUAAGGAAUCUUCCACGAUGGACGAAAGCCUGACGGAGCAACGCCGCGUGAGUGAUGAAGGUCUUCGGAUCGUAAGACUCUGUUAUUAGGGAAGAACAAACGUGUAAGUAACUGUGCACAUCUUGACGGUACCUAAUCAGAAAGCCACGGCUAACUACGUG
rnacentral:rRNA from 1 species